rnacentral:rRNA from 1 species
AUUGAACGCUGGCGGCAGGCCUAACACAUGCAAGUCGAGCGAGCGGCGGACGGGUGAGUAAUGUAUGGGGACUGCCCGAUAGAGGGGGGUAACCACUGGAAACGGUAGCUAAUACCGCAUACUAUCGGAUAACCCAUAUGGGAUUAGAUAGUAGGUGAGGGAAUGGCGCACCUAGGGGAAGAUCCCUAGCUGGUCUGAGAGGAUGAUCAGCCACACUGUAACUGUGACACGGCCCAGACUCCUACGGAGGCAGCAGUGGUUAAUAUUGCACAAUGGGCGCAAGCCUGAUGCAGCCAUGCCGCGUGUAUGAAGAAGGCCCUAGGGUUGUAAAGUACUUUCAGUCGGGAGGCGUUACCGACAGAAGAAGCACCGGCUAACUCCGUGCCAGCAGCCGCGGUAAUUC